rnacentral:tRNA from 1 species
UAGCUCAGUGGUAGAGCGCAUGCCUAGCACGCAUGAGGUCCUGGGUUCGAUCCCCAG